UGCUCAUCUGCAGAUGGGGAGACGUCAUUCCAGACUUGGUAUACGUCCACAGAUGGGAUAAAGAAUCCUCCUAGGUUCUUCUGAUAGUCCCUUGUUUCUGUUAGAGCUCUUCUGUGAUGUCUUUGCUAGAGCGGUGGUAUGUCUGUGUGCUAUGUAUCUGUGGAGUGCAUAGAUACACAUUGGACCUUUCCCUGGUCCAAUGUCCAAGAUACACAUUGGACCUUUCCCUGGUCCAAUAUCUGCUGGUAGGAGUCAUUUCUCUAGGGUGGGCACUGUGGUAUGUUGAGGUAGAAACUCCUGCUCCCAUCCCCUUGUCAUCUCUUCAUGAAGAAGGGGAAAUAUUUGUUGUUCAUCUAACAUGAUCUACACUUUUUCACGGACCAGCGUUUAAGUCCCAGUUUUAAACUAGAUGUCUUUUCUUUUUGUCAAUGUCUUAACAGAGAAAGGUCAAGAGUGGCCAAUAAUUCAUAGUGUGACCAGGGCCCCUGGAUCAGAUAAUCACAAUCCCUCUUGGCAGGACUUGAAUUGCCUUUUAAUUCAGUGUUAUUCUCUGAGAGAGAGAGAGAAAAAAUGAGGUUGAGAUCAAUGCGCCAAUAGCCAAGCAGCUCUGAACUCAGUGUUCUUUCAACAAAAGGAAGCACAAAGAUUACAGCUAUGCUUUGUCCAAGUGAAUGGAUAAAUUCUCACUCAUCCUCUUAGAGGAAAACUGGUAACAAAUGCUCCUUUCCAAGCCAGUUUUUUAAGACCCCAAGCCAGCUUUGGACCACGGCUUCAGUAGAUGUUUGUGUGUGGAUUUAGGAUGAUCCACUCUUAACUGUUACUUGCUACAGUGUUGCUCUCCUCCCUGUCUUCGCUCAGCGUGUAGAACGUGGGUCCUCGGUUGUGUCUCCAGGAUCAUCGUUGCCUGCCCCAUCACCAUCAAAGGAGCCUCUCAGCUGCAGUGGUGGAUCCAGCCCAUCCAGUGGUCCACCUGGGAGGUCUCAGCCAAGCUAUCUCAACACACUCCUCUGCUUGGAAUUGGUACUAUGUAUUAUCUUUGUUUUAGGAUGUAGGGUAGGAACUGAGUCUAUUAAUGUUUUUCUCAACACUGUAUUCCCAGGCCUAAUAAGGCUAGUAGGUGCAGUAAUAACCUGUUGUUAGAGCAAAAAAGAUGGCAUAAGUUGUCUCCCUUGUUGUUUGAGCCUCUUUGAAACUUUUCAUUGGUAGUGAACACAAAAAGGAUUAAAGCUCUGCCUACCAACAUCUCUGCCACAAGAGACUGGCCCCCACUGUGAGAAUGCUCUGCCUGAUCUCUGAAGAUUCACAGGCUUCCAGGCACGAUCAUAUCUCUUCUAAGUCCUGCACUUACCUGAGGUCAAAAGCCUUUAAAUUGGUACAGGUGGCCGAGUUGGGAUACAACAAAAUGCAUUCAGACAAUCCGAUCCUGUGAUCUGGCAAAAUGCAAAACAUUAUAGCCACUUACUAAAAACUGGGUAACAUUGUGCAGAAACUCAGGGGACAGAUACAAAUGAUUGUUUGUCCAUAUUGAUUUGAUUCCUGUAAGCUAAUGAAGAAAUUACCUUGUGACAUCAAAGACCUAGUACUCAAUAAAAAGAGAAAACAUUCAUUUAGGAAGUCUGAUGAUACAUUCUUUUCAUUUUACAUUCACUUUCUUCCUCCAUUCUACAAUGAGAUGUGAAGAAGAGAGAGUAAGCAAACCUUUUAUAAUCUGUUUUAUUUUAUUUUAUUUAUUUUUUUGAGAGGGAGUCUCACUCUGUCCCCCAGGCUGGCAUGCAGUGGCACGAUCUUGGCUCACUGCAACAUCCACCCACUGGGUUCAAGCGAUUCUCCUG
rnacentral:lncRNA from 10 species